GGAGGUUCGUCUAUGGCCUGG
rnacentral:siRNA from 1 species